rnacentral:tRNA from 1 species
GCCUUUGUGGUGUAGUGGUCAGCUCGUUCGACACGAAACCGAGAGGUCCGUGGUUCGAUUCCCGGCGAAGGCA